ACCAAUUUAGCCUAGUGGUAAGUCGUCGGACUGUUAAUCCGGAGGUGCGGAUUUGAUGCCCGUUGGUG
rnacentral:tRNA from 1 species